rnacentral:lncRNA from 1 species
AGGCAGGAAGUGACAUAGCAAGGAGACUCAUAUUUAAGCGAAGGAGAAACAGGAAGGGCCCCCUUUUUCCCUUCCGCUCCUGCUCCAGCGGCAAGAUGUGAUCCCAGCAAGGAGGGACGCCAAUAAGGAUGAGAUGCUACCUGUGCCACAUAACAGGGUAACUUUUGCCAGGGAUCAUAAGACAGGAUCUGGAGGUGUACCCCAAGACUACCUGGAGCAAGCAAAAUGCAUGAAUGGACUGGUCUGAAAUGGAUGCUGACUGAUAGUCACAGGAGAUUGGACCUGUGAGGAAGUGUAACAAAAAGACACUUGAACCUCUCUGUUUAGUAAAACAAAAAGUUUAAAGUUUGCAUAGGCAGCUGCUGAGGGUAGGGAUGGAGACAUUGAGAGCAAGCAAGAAUGUUGGGAUUAAUAUACAAACAAGAUACAAGGAUAAAUAUUCGGGAAUAUUUAGUAACAAUGGUGUCUCAUUUCUGAGUAUAUUGUUAGCCAGGCAUUGCUGCAAUGCCACUGUUUUGUGCAUGCAGAGUUUGGCUCUCAGACUGAGAAUAUAGAGGUAAAGCUUACAGAGGUGAAAGGUUCUAAUGAGAACAAAUGAACCACUUUUGGGAAAGGAAGCUGGUCAUCUUACAGUAAACCAGAUGAAGGACCAAGCUGCUGAUCAUGUUUUUAUAGAGAAGGAUCAUCCCAGAAGCCUGGAGGCCUUAGGAUCUUCUAGAUAAAGUUUAGAGUACUUCUGAAAUCCCUCUUCUUGUUCCUACCCAUGUAAUGUUACCUAUUACAUGCCCAGCAAAAGUGUUCACCAUUUAAAGAAUUCCAUCUGAAAAUUUUAGUCAUGACCUGGGCA